rnacentral:SRP_RNA from 1 species
GCCGGGUGCAGUGGUGCAUGCCUGUACUCGAGAGGCUGAGGCUGGAGGAUCUCUUGAGCCCAGGAGCUCUGGGUUGUAGUGUGCUAUGCCCAUCGGGUGUCUGCACUAAGUUCGGCAUCAAUAUGGUGACCUCCCAGGAGCUGGGGACCACCAGGUUGCCUAAGGAGGGGUGAACUGGCCCAGGUCGGAAACGGAGCAGGUCAAAACUCCUGUGCUGAUCAGUAGUGGGAUCGCGCCUGUGAAUAGCCCCCACUGCACUCCAACCUGGGCAACAUAGCAAGACCCCGUUUCU